ACGGAAUCAGUGACAUUUGCUUUGACGAAGAACAAAAGUAGCUGCAAGUGCACAAGAUUCAACAUAGGCGCAUAGUAGCAUUAACAGCGAAAUCGAAAAAUGAGAAAGUUCGAUCCAUGGCCCGUUUUCUUCAAGCGAGAAUGGAAACGUAACUGGCCAUUCCUCGUUGGAUUCGCAGUCACCGGAGCUGUUAUCACCAAGUUAUCUCUUGGCUUUACCGAGGAAGAUGCUAAGAAUUCGAAAUUCGUUCAGGCGCACAAGAGGUAAUUUCGGAAUGGGGACACUGCACUGGCCUUGCACCUCAUGUUAGUUGUGUCAAGAUUACUUGUCUUGAUUUUUUGCAUUGUAAUAACAGAAGAGAGAUAUUCUAUAUACUCCCUCUAUCAUCAUAUUAUUAUUUUCAGUUUUGGUCCUUUACCUAAAUCUGCUUGAAAAGUUCAUACUAAGCAAUUAUUGAUUUUCUCUAUUGUGAUGCUUAUCCUACUUGGAAUUUCUCUUUUGGUGUACAUUAGUUUAUCACUAUUCAGCUAUUACUUUGUAGAUAUAAGAUUUUGAGGGGGAUUGUUUACAUAGACACCAUUCAUUGGU